rnacentral:rRNA from 1 species
ACUCCUACGGGAGGCAGCAGUGGGAAUAUUGCACAAUGGGCAGCCAAGCCUGAUGCAGCCAUGCCGCGUGUGUGAAGAAGGCCUUCGGGUUGAUAAGCACUUUCAGUAAGGAGGAAAGGUUAGUAGUUAAUACCUGCUAGCUUGUGACGUUACUUACAGAAGAAGCACCGGCUAACUCCGUGCCAGCAGCCGCGGUAAUACGGAGGGUGCGAGCGUUAAUCGGAAUUACUGGGCGUAAAGCGUACGCAGGCGGUUUGUUAAGCGAGAUGUGAAAGCCCCGGGCUCAACCU